UACGUAGGUGGCAAGCGUUGUCCGGAAUUAUUGGGCGUAAAGCGCGCGCAGGCGGUCGUUCAAGUCGCGUGUGAAAGCCCCCGGCUCAACUGGGGAGGGUCACGCGAUACUGAUCGACUCGAAGGCAGGAGAGGGUAGUGGAAUUCCAGGUGUAGCGGUGAAACGCGUAGAUAUCUGGAGGAACACCGGUGGCGAAGGCGGCAUCCUGGACCGGCAUUGACGCUGAGGCGCGAAAGCUAGGGGAGCAAACGGG
rnacentral:rRNA from 1 species